UGUUUAUGGUAGAACUCUCGAACGAAUCGAGAAUUCUGAUGGUUUGUUGAAGAAAAAAGUUUCACGGUUUACGUGGUAAAUCAAAUACAGCGAGAGAACGCGAUUAUUCUCUUUAGAAAAUAAAUAGCCGAUGAUUCUCUUCAGGGGCAAAAUUGCUUCUAGUCAGUCUUUGUUCUCUCUCUCUUUCGAUCUCUCACUUUCCUCGAUGCCUUUCUCUUCGAAAUCCUCAGUUAAGCCUUCGUCGUAAAUUACCGAUAUAUCACACGGGGAACGUUUGUUUAAUUUUUGAUGGAAAUUGAUUUGGUAUUCUUCCUUUCAGCCCACCUUUUCUCGCUUUUUACUUCUUUAUUUACUGACGAUGCAUGCUUGCUUAUGUGCUCACUACAAACGAUGACUAGUUUCGUGUUGUAAAGCAACACCGGAUUUUUGAACUGCAGGAUCAAUCAAAAAAGAAGAACCACCACCCGGCUUCUCUCACUGCCGAAGGGCGCGCGAGCUGCCAGAACUCACAGAAACAAUACUACGCUUCGCUCAUUUCAAAGCCAACUGAGCUCUGAGCCAGAUGAUGGCGUGCCGCGUUAUUAUAUACUGUCAUGUGACGUCACCGUCGUGCCGCGUCGCGAUUGGAGGAGGCGCGAAGCUACGGCCAAUCGGACCACGCGUUACGUGAAAUUCGAACGGUACACGCUUGCUUGAACAGUUUCGUCGUCAUUCCGGUAAAGUUGGUAAAGCCAGUUGCGAACGAUGCAUACUUUUUUCAAACCGGUAACGUUCGCUUGGAAAUAGCAUUAUCCAAACUAUCAACGUACAACUAUAUACAGUUAGAACUGCCAAUAUAUAUUAUGUAUGUUUUGUUACUGGAUAAAACCUUGAUAAAUGAACUUUUGAUCGCUCGUAAUUAAUCCGGCCAUGAUUAUGUGGCUUUUAGAGCGUAUCCAUUAAAUCCAGUAUUUAUUUGUUAUUACCGUUAAUCCAAAAUGAAACUUUUACGAUUCGAUGCAGUAGCGGUUACAAUCAACUGUCGGAUCUUAGCGUUAUGAAAACUGCAAGCAAAUUUCAAAAUCACGAAAUGCCUAUACACAAUUUUUUCCGCUGCACUGAAGAGUAUUUGUUCAAUUUAUUCAGCAUGUAUGUUCAAUUACAAGGUGUAAAAUAACUUCUAAAAAAUUAAGUUUGCCACUUGUAUGAAAACAUGUAAAAUCGAAGUGAACUUCAGCCGAAUGAUACUUUUUGUUUUGAUACUUCAUCUUCCAAAGAAAGUGCUUUAUACGUUAAAAUUUAAGUUGAUGGUAAAUAGACCCAGACAGAAUGGGGGAAAUUAGGUGGGUGUAUCCGUGUGAUCUAUUUAAUUAGUGUCUAUUCUUAUCUUGGGUGUGUACACACAUUGUGGUUAUAUUACAAAACUACCUGAAUUGUCGCGUUAAAUAUAACUGAUUCGUGCAAAAAUCAGGUAUGGUGAAAUUUCUUUAUUCUUUUAGAACAAAUCUGAUUUCAAUACAUAUUUUUUCAUGUAAAUAUAAGUGAACGUAGAAAUAUAAAUAUUAAUGCUUCCCAUGAUAUAGUGGGAUCGUAAAACUAUUUGAAAAUAAUUUGCACUAUGAUAUAGCGAGAUUGUAAAUUGUUUUAAUUUGUAUACAAUGUUUUAGAACAAAUCUGAAUUGUUUCAAUACAUAAUUUUUUAUGUAAAUAUAAGUAAAGAUAGAAAUAUGAAUAUUAAUAAUCCUCAUGAUAUAGUGAGGUUGUAAAACUAUUUGAAAAUAAUUUGCACUAUAGCGAGGUCCUCAAUUUUUUAAAUUUGAAUCAAACUGUAAUAGUUGUAAUGAUAUAAUUUCGUUAUGAAAUCGCUAUCGUGGCAGACACUGACAACGUGAUCACUCGAUAUCAUUAUAAAAUUGAUUGAUAAUCAGAGAUAAUUUAUCUGUAUGAAGAAGAAGUUCAAUGAGUAAUAUGUCUGUUAAUUGGAUCCAUUUAUUAACUAUCAUUACCUCUCAACAUUUUAUCACUUGAGUUUUCCCAGUAUUACGAUUAAACUUGACUCACCGUCUCAUUCAAUAGCUUCCACGUAAGGAGCAAGUUAAUUAAUAUUGUUAAAUAUGUACUUUGUGCCGUACCUGGUACUUGAAAGAUUAUUUUUUAAUAACCCUAAUGCAAUGUGGUAAAAUGGGAAAUUUUGGAGGAUCGUUUUGAAAUAUAUAAA